GACGAACGCUGGCGGCGUGCCUAAUACAUGCAAGUAGAACGCUGAAGAGAGGAGCUUGCUCUUCUUGGAUGAGUUGCGAACGGGUGAGUAACGCGUAGGUAACCUGCCUUGUAGCGGGGGAUAACUAUUGGAAACGAUAGCUAAUACCGCAUAACAAUGGAUGACACAUGUCAUUUAUUUGAAAGGGGCAAUUGCUCCACUACAAGAUGGACCUGCGUUGUAUUAGCUAGUAGGUGAGGUAAUGGCUCACCUAGGCGACGAUACAUAGCCGACCUGAGAGGGUGAUCGGCCACACUGGGACUGGGACACGGCCCAGACUCCUACGGGAGGCAGCAGUAGGGAAUCUUCGGCAAUGGGGGCAACCCUGACCGAGCAACGCCGCGUGAGAGAAGAAGGUUUUCGGAUCGUAAAGCUCUGUUGUAAGUCAAGAACGGGUGUGAGAGUGGAAAGUUCACACUGUGACGGUAGCUUACCAGAAAGGGACGGCUAACUACGUG
rnacentral:rRNA from 1 species